UACGUAGGGACCAAGCGUUGUUCGGAUUUACUGGGCGUAAAGGGCGCGUAGGCGGCAAUUCAAGUCAUCUGUGAAAUCUCCGGGCUUAACUCGGAACGGUCAGAUGAUACUGCUUUGCUAGAGUGCGGAAGGGGCAAUCGGAAUUCUUGGUGUAGCGGUGAAAUGCGUAGAUAUCAAGAGGAACACCUGAGGUGAAGACGGGUUGCUGGGCCGACACUGACGCUGAGUGCGCGAAGGCCAGGGGAGCAAACGGG
rnacentral:rRNA from 1 species